GAAUGAUCCUUAUUCACAUAUAUAAUCUGCUGGAAAAGAAUUACUCAUGUACCAAAAUGAAAGAAGGAAGAGUAAGAAUUGUAACGUUUACUUUUAAAGGGGACAUGCUACUCAUUGAAGUAUAAAGGUAUUAAAAGGAUUAAUAAAUGAUCUGAGAAAGUGGGUCCUGGUAGUCUAUGGGAAGGAGAGAGAAGACAUACCCUCGGUAGAUUCCAGAACGGAAGAAGGACCCCUCUGUCCAUCAAGAGGAGAUAAUAAGCCACCAGCCCUCCUCAAGAGGCCAAAAGGAAGGAGACCCCUGGGGAGGAUCUAUCAGAAAGUUUGUUGGUGAAAGGGGAUUCUCUGGAGAUGAAGGGCUGCAACUCUUUGUGAAGAUCUCUGUAGACAUUCACAUUUUGGAUGCUUCUCUGAACUGAACCUGAAACCUUUGAGAUUUUCCUCUUUUUAUAUAUAGUUUAGCUUGCAAU